GACGAACGCUGGCGGCGUGCUUAACACAUGCAAGUCGAACGAUGAAGAAAAGAAUCGAAGCUUCGGCAGAAAUUCAUUUCGGAUUAGUGGCAGACGGGUGAGUAACGCGUGAGCAACCUACCUCUUACAAAGGGAUAGCCUCGGGAAACCGGGAUUAAUACCAUAUAACAUUGUGACGAAGCAUUUCGAUGCAAUCAAAGCUACGGCGGUAAGAGAUGGGCUCGCGUCCCAUUAACCGGAUGGUGAGGUAACGGCUCACCAUAGUGACGAUGGGUAACCGGACUGAGAGGGUGAACGGUCACACUGGAAAUGAGACACGGUCCAGACUCCUACGGGAGGCAGCAGUGGGGAAUAUUGCACAAUGGAGGGAACUCUGAUGCAGCGACGCCGCGUGAGUGAUGAAGGAAUUCGUUUCGUAAAACUCUGUUCUAUGGGAAGAAAAGGACUGUACCAUAGGAGAAAGCUCCGGCUAAAUACGUG
rnacentral:rRNA from 1 species